rnacentral:rRNA from 1 species
UCCACGGGACGCAGCAGUGGGGAAUAUUGCACAAUGGGGGAAACCCUGAUGCAGCGACGCCGCGUGAGCGAAGAAGUAUUUCGGUAUGUAAAGCUCUAUCAGCAGGGAAGAAAAUGACGGUACCUGACUAAGAAGCCCCGGCUAAAUACGUGCCAGCAGCCGCGGUAAUACGUAUGGGGCAAGCGUUAUCCGGAUUUACUGGGUGUAAAGGGAGCGUAGACGGCAUAGCAAGUCUGAAGUGAAAGCCCGUGGCUCAACCGCGGAACUGCUUUGGAAACUGUUAAGCUGGAGUACUGGAGAGGCAA